AAAGCCUUAAACCUGCUCAAUCUUACCCCUGUUGCUCUGGGCAUAGCCUCCACACCGGAGAACCCAGGCGAGCUCUGCGACCGAUGUGGCCGGAGUUGACCAAGGUGUGGUCCGAGUUCCAGUUGAAGGAGAGGCAGUGUCUAGUGGUUGCUGUGAGACAUGCAGUUUGAGAGUGUGUGUUACCACAAGAAAGCCUUAAACCUGCUCAAUCUUACCCCUGUUGCUCUGGGCAUAGCCUCGACACCGGAGAACCCAGGCGAGCUCUGCGACCGAUGUGGCCGGAGUUGACCAAGGUGUGGUCCGAGUUCCAGUUGAAGGAAAGGCAGUGUCUAGCGGUUGCUGUGAGACAUCCUGUUUGAGAGUGUGUUACCACAAGAAAG